rnacentral:rRNA from 1 species
AGGAUAAACGCUGGCGGCGUGCCUAACACAUGCAAGUCGAACGUCUCUUUCUUCUGGAAGAGGAGUGGCGGACGGGUGAGGAACACGUGGGAACCUGCCCUUCAGUGAGGAAUACCGGCGAGAAAUCGCCGACAAGACCGCAUAGCCCUCUCUGGUGAGAGCCAGAGAAGGAAAGCUUCGCAAGAGGCGCUGGAGGAGGGGCCUGCGUCCGAUUAGCUAGUUGGUGGGGUAAGAGCCUACCAAGGCGUCGAUCGGUAGCUGGUCUGAGAGGACGAUCAGCCACACUGGGAUUGAGAACGGCCCAGACUCCUACGGGGGGCAGCAGUGAGGAAUUUUCGUCAAUGGGGGCAACCCUGAACGAGCAACGCCGCGUGCAGGAAGAAGGUUUUCGGAUCGUAAACUGCUUUUCUCGGGGAAGAGAACGGACGGUACCCGAGGAAUCAGCCCCGGCUAACUACGCGCCAGCAGCCGC